GAGUUUGAUUCUGGCUCAGAACGAACGCUGGCGGCGCGUCUUAAGCAUGCAAGUCGAACGGCAAGAAAGGAGCUUGCUCCUUUCCUAGAGUGGCGGACUGGUGAGGAACACGUGGGUAAUCUACCCUUGAGAUGGGGAUAGCCGUUAGAAAUAGCGGGUAAUACCGAAUACACUUAUUAUUUCACAAGAGAUAGUAAGGAAAGGAAGCUACGGCUUCGCUCGAGGAUGAGCCUGCGUCCCAUUAGCUAGUUGGUGAGGUAACGGCUCACCAAGGCAACGAUGGGUAUCCGGCCUGAGAGGGUGAUCGGACACAUUGGGACUGAGAUACGGCCCAAACUCCUACGGGAGGCAGCAGCUAAGAAUAUUCCGCAAUGGACGGAAGUCUGACGGAGCGACGCCGCGUGGAUGAAGAAGGCUGAAAAGUUGUAAAAUCCUUUUGUUGAUGAAGAAUAAGGAUAAGAGGGAAUGCUUAUCUGAUGA
rnacentral:rRNA from 1 species